rnacentral:rRNA from 1 species
GACAGAGGGUGCAAACGUUGUUCGGAAUUACUGGGCGUAAAGCGCGUGUAGGCUGCUCUGCAAGCCGGAUGUGAAAGCCCUGGGCUCAACCUAGGAAGUGCACUCGAAACUGCAGAGCUUGAGUCCUGGAGAGGAAGGCGGAAUUCUCGGUGUAGAGGUGAAAUUCGUAGAUAUCGAGAGGAACACCGGUGGCGAAGGCGGCCUUCUGGACAGUGACUGACGCUGAGACGCGAAAGCGUGGGGAGCGAACAGG